CAAAAAAACGACAUCGAGAUUUUUGAAAUGAAAACAAUUUACGUGUUAAUUACAACAAAAACUUUAUCUGUAUAGAUUUUUGAAAAAUCCAGAUAAUUAUCCAGAUUUUACUUUCUCUCGAUAGAAAACAGUACUGCCAAGGUACAUUACACUUAUUAAAUGUCAGAUUCCAAUAAACGACAGCUGCAGUUGACAGAUAUAUGACAAAAAAAAAUUUAAUAUUUAAAAUUGAAUUCAAUUAGGAAUAACAAACAACACAAAUCAAUGAUUCACGUAUUUGCAUGAGUGCGAUAUCUUCCCCAAAAUUAAAGAGAAAAACCGGAAAAGGAGAUGGAAAGAAUUAUUUCACAAAAGAAGAAUUCUGUGUACUGUGCGAUUGGGUCUUAAUCGUGUCGGUACCUUCAACCCUCACAGUCAAAAUGUAAUGUAAAAUGUUCUUGGAAUGCCCGCUCGUUUGCGAAAACGUCUAUUCUUAGACGAUCAACAUGAAUAAAUGAUAACAAAGCUCUUGUUGUUAAUAAAUUGCCUCAUUAGAAUGCCCACCACAAAAACAGUCUCUUACAUUUUUAAAAUGAUACACGUCAUGUAUGUGCGCUGCGAAGAAAAGCAAAUACAAACAUACCUCCCGAAAAAUAUUCCCCCAGGAAACACUUUUCAUCCCAAACAGCAGACAGCAACAAGCAAGACAAUCCUAACAUUGCAUUAUGCAGCUCAUUCAACACCCAAAAAUCCUUCAGCUCCCGUUGAUGAAAAACCAUUUUAUAAGAGAUCGCUUCACUGCGUUCAAACUUGUACGACAUGUGCAUGAUAAGUGAAGUGUGGAAACAAAUGGCAUGUGAAAGUGGUAAUUGUUUCAGAGCAUCAUUUAGCUCCCCAAUUGGUUGCAGGACAUGUCUUCUACAAAUGGGUCUAAAGCCCCCAUCGAGAUCCCGAGAAAAUCUGCAUGAAUCUUCUUCGCAAUUGCUUUCCCCUUCUAAACAGUUAUGCAGAGGGAGGAAUUAAGGCAAAACACAUGGAUUCCCAACCCAACUUAACCAACCCUACAACUGGACAUCCGGGUCUGAACAACUCGAGUACAGCAGACUUUUUAAACUAAGUUUAUCCAUGUAUUAUAUUUGUUUAUAUUUUAUAACUUUGUCAUUAUUAUUUAACGUCAGACCCCCUUUGUGCCAUCAAAAUUUUAAAUGUAUCUUAGAAAUAAGUUAUUUAAUUAUUAAAUUGCAAAUUGCAAAAUUAAAACGUAA